rnacentral:lncRNA from 1 species
AUGAUUCAGCCUAGGACAUGGAACCUGCUGCUGUUCCUGCACCUCCAAAAGCAACAAGAGCAUGAAGACCACCACAUGCACAGGAGGUGCUGCUCCAGCACAAAGACCAGCAGAAUGAACUCACUGGGAUCAGCAGGUGGUGUAUGUUCAGCUGCUCUCGGCAGCACUCAGCUCACCUGUUCCCAGCGAGGGCAGCUGCCAUCAGGGAAGCAGUGCCCUGUGAAUGUGACAUUCAGAGGGCAGGAGAGCCCAGAUUUGUGAGGCAGACAUCAAAGUGCUCUCUAACAUGCAGAUGUUUCCCAUGCAGAGGCUGAGAAAAGUGAUGGCCAAGAGUUUGUAAAUCCUGUGCUGUGUUUUUUCCUUCGUUUUUUCCCUUACAUUCCCCAUUUCCUUUCCUUCUCUUAUGUGGAAGAACAAAACUAUUAAAAAUGAUGAGCUGUAUCCUCAGCUGGCAUAAUUUGUUGUGACUCCACAGAGCCAUGCCUGUUUACACAAGCUGCAAAUUUCUCCCAUCAAUUUAAAUCUCUACAGAUUUACAUCAUGGGGAACAGCUCUACAUUUUUUCCCAUAACUAAUAAGCUUCUUUAAAAAAGAAAAGACAAACAAGCACCCUUGACAUCUAUUAAACUUGCAUUUGGUGAUAAAGAUUUCAGAGGAUGCCUUCUCCCACCCUAUCUCACGUCCUUCUUCCUGCUCCUCUGUUUUUUUGAGGUGUCACAUGGGCCAGAGCUGAGCUGAGCUGCCAAGGACAGUGCCCAUGGAUGAACCCAUGGCUGGAUCUGCUUCCUGACACGUAGCUCUGCUCCCUUUUCAUCCCCCCAAGUAAUGCUGCAACCCAUCCCAAAAAUCCCUGAGUCCUGCUGAGGACAGAGCUCCCUUCACUACCACCCAGGCUCACUGGUUGUAGGGAAAAAUUCCUGCUCUGUUUGAUCAAGGGAAGCAAGUUCAGUGCUCAGCUCCCUCUGCCUCGGUGAAUUCCUUAAUCAACAAACUAAAGGUUGUUUUUUAACAUGUUCUCCAUCCAUUUCAUUUUUAUUUCAAGAAACAUUUCACCUUCCUAUAUAAUAAGCACAUCUGAAACCUCACCAUUUGCUACAGAAUUGAAUUCUUGUGUUCCCACUUGCCCUAAGCAGAAGCACUGUAGCCCCACGUCUGCAGAACACAUUGUACGGUGCUGAUUUUGUGCUGUCCUGCAGAGAAACCCAAGGAGGUUUCACAUGACAUUACCAACUCACCCCCCACAAAAUCUCCCCCCUGUGGAUAAGUAGAAAUCUGAGCACUUUGCACACAUGAAGACAGACACUUGCCAUUGGGAAGCAGUUUGCUGAGACAUUUGGAAAUCCUAAACUCUUCUGAACACUCAACAGCAACAACUUUUCGGCUGGACAAUACUCUGAUUGAGCCUGCUUUUGGGAUAUACUGAAUUAUCCUGAAGAGCCAGAUGACUUAAGUGCCAAAUUCUUUACUACAUUCACUGAUUUAAUUUGACCACUGAAGCUCUCCAGGCAUUUUUGGAAGCCCCAGUUGCAAUUCCAGGAACCAGUAUGUCCAAGAUGAUCCCACAGGUUGAGCACUGUCAUUAAAAGCAUGACCUGUUCCUGCUGGAGGCAAAUGAUGGAGUCCUUGUGGGAGUGCAGGGAUGAGGAGGCUGUAUCACCCAUCUCAGCAGUGAAUUUUCUAUGCUAUGGAGCAAGGCCAAGUCCAGUAGGGAUCUCUGAGGCCACAGUAAAAGCCUUACAUUCGUACCAAUAAAAGCUGAGUCUAGUGACCUGCA